GAUGAACGCUAGCGGCAGGCCUAAUACAUGCAAGUCGAACGAGAUUAAGAGGCUUGCUUCUUAUGAAAGUGGCGCACGGGUGCGUAACGCGUAUGCAACCUACCUUAAUCAGGGGGAUAGCCCGAAGAAAUUCGGAUUAAGACCGCAUAAAAACACAGGAUAGCAUUAUCCAAUGUUCAAAUAUUUAUAGGAUUAAGAUGGGCAUGCGUGUCAUUAGCUAGUUGGCGGGGUAACGGCCCACCAAGGCGACGAUGACUAGGGGAUCUGAGAGGAUGACCCCCCACACUGGUACUGAGACAAGGACCAGACUCCUACGGGAGGAAGAAGUAAGGAAUAUUGGUCAAUGGAGGGAACUCUGAACCAGCCAUGCCGCGUGCAGGAAGAAAGCCCUCUGGGUCGUAAACUGCUUUUAUUCGGGAAUAAACCUUUCUACGUGUAGGAAGCUGAAUGUACCGAAGGAAUAAGGAUCGGCUAACUCCGUG
rnacentral:rRNA from 1 species